UACGUAGGCAGCAAGCGUUGUUCGGAGUUACUGGGCGUAAAGGGUGUGUAGGCGGUUGUUUAAGUUUGGUGUGAAAUCUCCCGGCUCAACUGGGAGGGUGCGCCGAAUACUGAAUGACUCGAGUGCGGGAGAGGAAAGUGGAAUUCCUGGUGUAGCGGUGAAAUGCGUAGAUAUCAGGAGGAACACCGGUGGUGUAGACGGCUUUCUGGCUCGCAACUGACGCUGUAGCGCGAAAGCGUGGGGAGCGAACGGG
rnacentral:rRNA from 1 species